rnacentral:piRNA from 1 species
UCAGCUGGAGAGCUGCCCCUGGAGCCAGAGC